AGUGGGGAAUAUUGCACAAUGGAGGAAACUCUGAUGCAGCAACGCCGCGUGGAGGAUGACGCAUUUCGGUGUGUAAACUCCUUUUAUAUAGGAAGAUAAUGACGGUACUAUAUGAAUAAGCACCGGCUAACUCCGUGCCAGCAGCCGCGGUAAUACGGAGGGUGCAAGCGUUACUCGGAAUCACUGGGCGUAAAGCGCAUGCAGGCGGUUUAUUAAGUUGGAAGUGAAAUCCUAUGGCUCAACCAUAGAACUGCUUCCAAAACUGAUAAACUAGAGUCUGGGAGGGGAAGAUGGAAUUAGUAGUGUAGGGGUAAAAUCCGUAGAGAUUACUAGGAAUACCAAAAGCGAAGGCGAUCUUCUGGAACAGUACUGACGCUGAGAUGCGAAAGCGUGGGGAGCAAACAGGAUUAGAUACCCUGGUAGUCCACGCAGUAAACGAUGAAUGUUAGUCGUUGGGACUCUAGUAGUUUCAGUGAUGCAGUUAACACAUUAAACAUUCCGCCUGGGGAGUACGGUCGCAAGAUUAAAACUCAAAGGAAUAGACGGGGACCCGCACAAGUGGUGGAGCAUGUGGUUUAAUUCGAAGAUACGCGAAGAACCUUACCUAGCCUUGACAUACUACAGAAUUUGACAGAGAUGUUGAAGUGCCUUCGGGAGCUGUAAUACAGGUGCUGCACGGCUGUCGUCAGCUCGUGUCGUGAGAUGUUGGGUUAAGUCCCGCAACGAGCGCAACCCUCGUCCUUAGUUACUAACGGUUCGGCCGAGGACUCUAAGGAGACUGCCUUCGUAAGGAGGAGGAAGGUGAGGACGACGUCAAGUCAUCAUGGCCCUUACGGCUAGGGCAACACACGUGCUACAAUGGUUAGGACAAUGAGAAGCGAUACCGCGAGGUGGAGCAAAUCUAUAAACCUAAUCUCAGUUCGGAUAGCAGUCUGCAACUCGACUGCUUGAAGCUGGAAUCACUAGUAAUCGUAAAUCAGCUAUGUACGGUGAAUACGU
rnacentral:rRNA from 1 species